CUCCGGCGCCACAAGUGGUUAUCACGAUUACUGGGCCUAAAGCAUCCGUAGCCGGUUCUACAAGUCUUCCGUUAAAUCCACCUGCUUAACAGAUGGGCUGCGGAGGAUACUAUAGAGCUAGGAGGCGGGAGAGGCAAGCGGUACUUAGUGGGUAGGGGUAAAAUCCGUUGAUCCAUUGAAGACCACCAGUGGCGAAGGCGGCUCACUGGCCCGGUACUGACGCUGAGGUGCGAAAGCGUGGGGAGCAAACAGG
rnacentral:rRNA from 1 species